AAUGGAAUUGCUGAGUCAUAUGGUAAUUCUAUGUUUAGCUUUUUGAGGAAUUGCCAAACUUUUAUAUAGAUGCAACAGCAUUUUACGCUCCCAUCAGCAAU
rnacentral:pre_miRNA from 1 species